AUUGAACGCUGGCGGCAAGCCUAACACAUGCAAGUCGAACGAGUGGCGGACGGGUGAGUAAUGUCUGGGAAACUGCCUGAUGGAGGGGGAUAACUACUGGAAACGGUAGCUAAUACCGCAUACCAUCGGAUGUGCCCAUAUGGGAUUAGCUAGUAGGUGGGGUAAAGGCUCACCUAGGCGACGAUCCCUAGCUUGUCUGAGAGGAUGACCAGCCACACUGGGACAGAGACACGGUCCAGACUCCUACGGGAGGCAGAAGUGGGGAAUAUUGCACAAGGGGAGAAAGCCUGAUACAGCCAUGCCGCGUGUAUGAAGAAGGCCUUCGGGUUGUAAAGUACUUUCAGCGGGGAGGCGUUACCCGCAGAAGAAGCACCGGCUAACUCCGUGCCAGCAGCCGCGGUAAUAC
rnacentral:rRNA from 1 species